AUAUAUUAUGCCUAACGUUAUACAUUAUUAAGGGUAUUAGUCUGAUAUGAGCCAGUCCAUGAGAAAAGGUACACAAACGAAAAUUUUACGAAAUUUUAAAAAGUGUGCAUAAUUAUUGGUAGUAGACUUGUGAUUUAUAAAACACAUUUACUUUUCCUCAUAUCCUUAAGCUGUGAGCUACACGCACCUGCAAGUGUUGAGACCCCCCUUUAGUUUUAUCAAGAUUUUUAAUGACUUAUUUCAUAUAUUUCAAUCAUUUUCAAAGUACAGUUUAAAUGGCUUGAUUUGCCAAUUGAUAAUGUUAACCCCG
rnacentral:lncRNA from 1 species